rnacentral:rRNA from 1 species
CAGUAGCCACGGUAAUACGAAGGGUGCAAGCGUUAAUCGGAAUUACUGGGCGUAAAGCGUGCGUAGGUGGUGGUUUAAGUCCGUUGUGAAAGCCCUGGGCUCAACCUGGGAAUUGCAGUGGAUACUGGCUCGCUAGAGUGUGUCAGGGGAUGGUGGAAUUCCCGGUGUAGCGGUGAAAUGCGUAGAGAUCGGGAGGAAUAUCAGUGGCGAAGGCGGCCAUCUGGGACAACACUGAUGCUGAGGCACGAAAGCGUGGGGAGCAAACAGGAUUAGAUACCCCAGUAGUCCCUGUCUCUUAUAC